GACCUCGAAUCAGGUGGGACUACCCGCUGAACUUAAGCAUAUCAAUAAGCGGAGGAAAAGAAACUAACAAGGAUUCCCCUAGUAACGGCGAGUGUAGCGGGAUGAGCUCAAAUUUAAAAUCUGGUAGUUCUUGUUGGCUGCCCGAAUUGUAAUCUAGAGAAGCGUUUUCCGCGCUGGACUGUGUACAAGUUUCCUGGAUAUGGAACAUCAUAGAGGGUGAGAAUCCCGUCCUUGACACAGACUCCCAGUGCUUUGUGAUGCGCUCUCAACGAGUCGAGUUGUUUGGGAUUGCAGCUCAAAAUGGGAGGUAAAUUCCUUCUAAAGCUAAAUAUUGGCGAGAGACCGAUAGCGAACAAGUACCGUGAGGGAAAGAUGAAAAGCACUUUGGAAAGAGAGUUAAACAGUACGUGAAAUUGUUAAAAGGGAAACGA
rnacentral:rRNA from 1 species